AUGGAGGAGGCGCCCGUGACGGCAGCCACGGGGGUCUUGGGGCCCAUCCUAUGGGCAAUAUGGGAGAGCGAGGAUCUUGAUGUGGCAACCAAGGAGUUGAAGAUGGAAGUGUUGUAUCUCGCUGAUGAUAUGGACGAUGCCAUCGACGACUUCAUCCACAGCAUGGAGAGUUGGAAGAAGGCUAAUGGGUGCUCCCGCUCCAUAGAGGCCAACACCCAGACAAGCCCUUUCCAAGAUCUGAAGAAAAGAGCCAUUGAUGUGUCUGAGCAGUUCCACAACAAGUGGAAGACCAAAGCUACGUGCAGUUUAUUUUCAAGGAAAAAUUCCGUCUCAGGCACCAGCAAGCCGAAGCCCCGGGCUCCCUUUGUCCUCGCCGAUAAGUCACAACUUGUUGGUAUGGACGUGCCAAGGGAUAGGCUCAUCAAACACCUGGUAGGAGGAGAGGAGAGCACACAUAUCAAAAUGGCAUCCAUUGUUGGAAUGGCCGGCAUGGGGAAAACAACCCUUGCCCGCCUUGUGUACGAGGCGAUUGAAAACAAGUUCCAGGCCUGGGCUUUUGUGUCAGUCAAUCCAGGAGGUAACAUCAAGGAUGUUCUCACAAGUAUUCUCCAACAAGUGGGAGCUGUACUGCCCUCUCGCGCCCGUACAGAGAAGUGCCUCAUCAACACCAUAUCAGAGUUCCUCAAGGAGAAAAGAUGA
rnacentral:rRNA from 1 species